CCGGGCAAGUCCUAAGCCCAACCGCCUGAUCUCAGGAAAUUCCUCACUUAGCAACAGCUAACCACCCUGCCCACCCCACUUCACAACAAGCCCAGAUCUCUCCCACCCGGACCUAAACUUACCCAGUCUGUAAGCGGGGGCGGGCUCUGGCCUUAGUUGGUGUCCCCCUCCGCGGGUGUUUGUUCGGUAAACCUGUGUUGCUGUAGAGCCGCCUCCGUCCGUUUUUCCUCCCGUUCCUGCGCUAACAAUGACAUUAUACCAAAUGUAACUGUCCCUAGGUAGCAAACUGCAACUUAACUUCAUAUGAAAACAAUCUACAACUGUAACAUAUUCUGUAACAAAUAACUGAGACUCAGUUAAUUAUAGCAGCUGGGCUUUAACCAGUCAUGGGAUGACAACUGAUCAGACCAUGUAUCUGUAUAAGGCAAGUGCUUCAUCACACCGUGGCUGAAUCAGACAAGAGACACACCUCUUAUUACAGAA
rnacentral:lncRNA from 10 species